AUACGGAGGGCGCGAACGUUGCUCGGAAUCAUUGGGCGUAAAGCGCACGUAGGCGGCCUGAUAAGUCGGAUGUGAAAGCCCACGGCUCAACCGUGGAAGUGCAUUCGAGACUGUCAGGCUUGAGUAUGGGAGAGGGUUGCGGAAUUCCCGGUGUAGAGGUGAAAUUCGUAGAUAUCGGGAGGAACACCAGCGGCGAAGGCGGCAGCCUGGACCAAUACUGACGCUGAGGUGCGAAAGCGUGGGGAGCAAACAGGAUUAGAAACCCUAGUAGUCC
rnacentral:rRNA from 1 species